GAUGAACGCUAGCGGCAGGCCUAAUACAUGCAAGUCGAACGGUGUCUUCGGACAUAGUGGCGCACGGGUGCGUAACACGUAUGCAACCUACCUUACAUUGGGGGAUAGCCUUUCGAAAGGGAGAUUAAUACCGCAUAAGACAGUAGCUGGGCAUCCAGCAGCUGUUAAAGAUUUAUCGAUGUAAGAUGGGCAUGCGUCCAAUUAGUUAGUUGGCGAGGUAAUGGCUCACCAAGACUUUGAUUGGUAGGGGAACUGAGAGGUCAAUCCCCCACACUGGCACUGAGAUACGGGCCAGACUCCUAUGGGAGGCAGCAGUAGGGAAUAUUGGGCAAUGGACGCAAGUCUGACCCAGCCAUGCCGCGUGCAGGAUGAAGGCGUUAUGCGUUGUAAACUGCUUUUAUACAGGAAGAAACGACUCUUGCGAGAGGCAUUGACGGUACUGUAUGAAUAAGCA
rnacentral:rRNA from 1 species